AUUGAACGCUGGCGGCAGGCCUAACACAUGCAAGUCGAACGAGUGGCGGACGGGUGAGUAAUGUCUGGGAAACUGCCUGAUGGAGGGGGAUAAAUACUGGAAACGGUAGCUAAUACCGCAUACCAUCGGAUGUGCCCAGAUGGGAUUAGCUAGUAGGUGGGGUAAAGGCUCACCUAGGCGACGAUCCCUCGCUGGUCUGAGAGGAGGACCAGCAACACUGGAACUGAGACACGGUCAAGACUCCUACGGAGGGCAGAGUUGGGGAAUAUUGCACAAUGGGCGCAAGCCUGAUGCAGCCAUGCCGCGGGUAUGAAGAAGGCCUUCGGGUUGUAAAGUACGUUCAGCGGGGAGGCGUUACCCGCAGAAGAAGCACCGGCUAACUCCGUGCCAGCAGCCGCGGUAAUAC
rnacentral:rRNA from 1 species